rnacentral:rRNA from 1 species
GAUGAACGCUGGCGGCGUGCCUAAUACAUGCAAGUCGAGCGAACCACUUCGGUGGUGAGCGGCGAACGGGUGAGUAACACGUAGGUGAUCUGCCCAUCAGACGGGGACAACGAUUGGAAACGAUCGCUAAUACCGGAUAGGACGAAAGUUUAAAGGUGCUUCUGGCACCGCUGAUGGAUGAGCCUGCGGCGCAUGAGCUAGUUGGUGGGGUAAAGGCCUAGCAAGGCGACGAUGCGUAGCCGACCUGAGAGGGUGAACGGCCACACUGGGACUGAGACACGGCCCAGACUCCUACGGGAGGCAGCAGUAGGGAAUCUUCGGCAAUGGGCGAAAGCCUGACCGAGCAACGCCGCGUGAAUGAUGAAGGCCUUCGGGUUGUAAAAUUCUGUUAUAAGGGAAGAACGACUUUAGUAGGAAAUGGCUAGAGUGUGACGGUACCUUAUGAGAAAGCCACGGCUAACUACGUGCCAGCCGCCGCAGUAAGAC